rnacentral:rRNA from 1 species
CCUACGGGUUGCAGCAGUGGGGAAUAUUGCACAAUGGGCGAAAGCCUGAUGCAGCGACGCCGCGUGAGGGACGAAGGCCUUCGGGUUGUAAACCUCUUUCGGCAGGGACGAAGCGAAAGUGACGGUACCUGAAGAAGAAGCGCCGGCCAACUACGUGCCAGCAGCCGCGGUAAGACGUAGGGCGCAAGCGUUAUCCGGAUUUAUUGGGCGUAAAGAGCUCGUAGGCGGCCUGUCGCGUCGACUGUGAAAACCCGCAGCUUAACUGCGGGACUGCAGUCGAUACGGGCAGGCUAGAGUUCGGUAGGGGAGACUGGAAUUCCUGGUGCAGCGGUGAAAUGCGCAGAUAUCAGGAGGAACACCGGUGGCGAAGGCGGGUCUCUGGGCCGAUACUGACGCUGAGGAGCGAAAGCGUGGGGAGCGAACAGGAUUAGAUACCCGAGUAGUC